AGCGUAGACGGCAUGGCAAGUCUGAAGUGAAAGCCCGGGGCUCAACCCCGGGACUGCUUUGGAAACUGUCAGGCUAGAGUGCUGGAGAGGUAAGUGGAACUCCUAGUGUAGCGGUGAAAUGCGUAGAUAUUAGGAGGUACACCAGUGGCGAAGGCGGCUUACUGGACAGUAACUGACGUUGAGGCUCGAAAGCGUGGGGAGCAAACA
rnacentral:rRNA from 1 species